UACGUAGGGAGCGAGCGUUGUCCGGAUUUACUGGGUGUAAAGGGUGCGUAGGCGGCUCUGUAAGUCAGAAGUGAAAUCCAUGGGCUCAACCCAUGAACUGCUUUUGAAACUGUGGAGCUUGAGUGAAGUAGAGGAGAGUGGAAUUCCAUGUGUAGCGGUGAAAUGCGUAGAUAUAUGGAGGAACACCGGUGGCGAAAGCGGCUCUCUGGCCUGUAACUGACACUGAGGCUCGAAAGCGUGGGGAGCAAACAGG
rnacentral:rRNA from 1 species